rfam:Candidatus Aminicenantes bacterium RBG_19FT_COMBO_59_29 rbg_19ft_combo_scaffold_2216, whole genome shotgun sequence.
CCGUGCUAGACGGGGAGCUAGCGGUGCCCUGUAGCCCACAACCCGCUCCAGUGGGGUCGAUGGCCUGACCGAGGCCGGCCCUUUUCUGGUCUGUGUUCGGGCGGGAAGCGUUGAAGGUCGGGGCCCUGCGCAAAGAGCCCUCUGCGAACCCCGCCAGGACCGGAAGGUAGCAACGGUAGCAAAGCGGCCUCUUGUGCGUCAGUCAGCCUUGCCUGAGCCGAAGGCCCGGAUAACGCAGGGGAAGGCCGUUCGAAGCCGGCUGCACGG